AGCGAACGCUGGCGGCAGGCCUAACACAUGCAAGUCGAACGAACUCUUCGGAGUUAGUGGCGGACGGGUGAGUAACACGUGGGAACGUGCCUUUUGGUUCGGAAUAACUCAGGUAAACUUGUGCUAAUACCGAAUGUGCCCUUCGGGGGAAAGAUUUAUCGCCAUUAGAGCGGCCCGCGUCUGAUUAGCUUGUUGGUGAGGUAACGGCUCACCAAGGCGACGAUCAGUAGCUGGUCUGAGAGGAUGACCGGCCACACUGGGACUGAGACACGGCCCAGAAUCCUACGGGAGGCAGCAGUGGGGAAUCCUGCGCAAUGGGCGAAAGCCUGACGCAGCCAUGCCGGGUGAAUGAUGAAGGUCUUAGGAUUGUAAAAUUCUUUCACCGGGGACGAUAAUGACGGUACCCGGAGAAGAAGCCCCGGCUAACUUCGUG
rnacentral:rRNA from 1 species